rnacentral:rRNA from 1 species
UAUGUGAUCGUCUCUCGCAUAUCAAUAAGCGGAGGAAAAGAAACUAACAAGGAUUCCCCUAGUAACGGCGAGUGAAGCGGGAAGAGCUCAAAUUUGAAAUCUUAAAGGGUUUCCCUUUACGAAUUGUAGUUUAAAGAAGUGUUUUCUGUUGAGGUUUUGGUAAAAGUUCUUUGGAAUAGGACAUCAUAGAGGGUGAGAAUCCUGUAUUUGACCUUUACUUUCAACUUUGUGAUACACUUUCAAAGAGUCGGAUUGUUUGGGAAUGCAGUCCAAAAUGGGUGGUAAAUUUCAUCUAAAGCUAAAUAUUGGCGAGAGACCGAUAGCGAACAAGUACCGUGAGGGAAAGAUGAAAAGAACUUUGAAAAGAGAGUUAAACAGUACGUGAAAUUGUCAAAAGGGAAGCGUUUGACACCAGUGUUGUUUUUCUGAAAAUCAAUUAAAGAACUGUUUAUGCUAAGUUGUUUAGACUUUAUCAGCUAACUGUUUAGUUUUGAGCUUUUCUUUAAUGCACUUUUCAGUUAACAAGUCAACAUCAAUUUCUUUUGCUGUAAAAAAGCUUGAGGAAGGUGGCUUGAGAUUCGUCUUAAGUGUUUAUAGCCUCUUGCCUAUGCAGUCGGAGAGAUUGAGGUCUGCAGCGUAGAUCCUUCGGGGCUAAAUGCAUUUGUGCUAAGUUAUAGCAUUUUAUAGACAACUUGUUGACUAUGAUUUGUCUUGUAGCUUACUCGCUUAUGUUAUUUUACCUACGCUUAGGAUGUUGAUCUACAGAGCGAGAGU